rnacentral:rRNA from 1 species
AGUGAACGCUGGCGGUAGGCCUAACACAUGCAAGUCGAACGGCAGCACAGUAAGAGCUUGCUCUUACGGGUGGCGAGUGGCGGACGGGUGAGGAAUACAUCGGAAUCUACUUUUUCGUGGGGGAUAACGUAGGGAAACUUACGCUAAUACCGCAUACGACCUACGGGUGAAAGCAGGGGAUCUUCGGACCUUGCGCGAUUGAAUGAGCUGAUGUCGGAUUAGCUAGUUGGCGGGGUAACGACCCACCAAGGCGACGAUCCGUAGCUGGUGUGAGAGGAUGAUCAGCCACACUGGAACUGAGACACGGUCCAGACUCCUACGGGAGGCAGCAGUGGGGAAUAUUGGACAAUGGGCGCAAGCCUGAUCCAGCCAUACCGCGUGGGUGAAGAAGGCCUUCGGGUUGUAAAGCCCUUUUGUUGGGAAAGAAAAGCAGCAGGUUAAUACCCCGCUGUUCUGACGGUACCCAAAGAAGAAGCACCGGCUAACUUCGUG